GGAUACCAGGUGAGCUACAAGCCACCAGAAGCAGCAGCUGCAGGACAGAAUAAUUCAAAAUGUCACAGACGUGACGGCGCUCCUGGUGGUGGAAGAGGGAACUGCAGUGUCACAGUUACUGCCUUCAAUACGGCCGGCUGUGGACCUGCUGCACAUCUCCGCAUUGACACACAAACACAGAACACUCUCCCGUCAGUCAGAAGCUUAUGGGUGUCCAGUUCUUUCCCGGCUAUGAAGGGCCUUCUGGUCCAAUGGGAGAGCCCCACAGCCUUGCCCUCUGUCCCGCCGUCAUUUUGCUGUUCAGUGGCGCUCCAAGACCCGUCCAUCCACCAGCCGCUGGACCACAGUGGACUACAACACCACCUCCACUGUCAUACGAGCACUGAUGGAGCCGGUCCAACUGAAGGUGGGGGUCGUGACCAAAACCACAGUGACAGUGGUGUGGGUGUUGCAAAGGAAGGCUGGACCAAUCAGAGUGAACAGAUAAAGAGUCAUGCUGACAAAAGAAUUGGAGAGCAAAACACUGUAUUUGUGGCCGGACCAAUGGCAGCUCACCUUCAACAACCUGAAACCCAACACUGAGUAUUCUCUUCUCCUAUUGGCUGAUGAUGUUUCCAGAAACAUUAUCCCUGUGAGGACAG